rnacentral:rRNA from 1 species
AUGGGCAGGAACCAAGACGUCAGUGAAAUCCAUGUGAGGGAAAAAUUCAAGAUGCGAAGAAAAAGUUUUAGACUUUGCCGCAGCGACGAGAACGGCACCGCCUCGUUUGGGGACCGACACCGUAUGCUCAGGACCACAUCGUUGUACCGUGAACAAUACAAGCGCAUCCUUCUUAGGUCAGCGCUUGGCGACUACAAUGAACUCGUGAGGGGCGGUAUGCUUACGUGGGAAGCUUAUGAAGAGCAUCGCCGUGCAAUCGAUAGCUCAAUGGAAAUUAUCAGGCAAAGUAUUCGAAGAUACAAAGAACGCCGUUUGCAGGCUGGGCUAUUUUACCUGGUGCAUGAUAUAGGUGGAACCGGGAUAACUGUUCAUACACACUUGUACCGCAUGCCUCUCCGGGAAGCGCUAAGGAAACGUCGACAAGAAAUCAGAAGGAGGAAACCAGUACUCGAUGCUUCCAACAAUUCAAAGAAAUCGAAUAUCUUUGACACAAUGGUGCUGAGACCAUCUUUGAAAAGGUUGGUCAUGUGUACCUUAUCUUCCAUUAUAAUAGGUUGUGUUAUAGUUUUCUAUGAAAGGUCAUGA